GCUAGUUUGGGUCAAAUGUGAAAACCUUCCAUGUCUUUCUCCAGAGAAGGGAAUUACCAGCCUCCUCCUCUCCUGCCCUUCUCCCUCCACCCAGCAUCUAAAAGUCAUUACUAGGCUGAGUGGAUACAGCAUCAUGGAAGCAGGUGCACAGCAUGAGCCCUGCCUCCUAGGACAAGGGGUGAGCUGCAAAACCAGGGGCACGUGGCCAGAGGGGCCUCAGGCCUUGACUCAGCCUCCUCGAGGCAGGGAGGUCAAGCUUCAGGCCUUGAAGACAAGCCUGAAAAAAAAAGUACCUCACAAAAGAUGCAUACCACUCAGUCAUACCCUUUCCGGUAAGAUUACAGUAUUCGCGUUCGAGUAUCACGAUUUUUUUCUGCACUGUAUGGUGAAAAGAACUAUGUUAAUAGCUGUAUCUUAAAUACUGUGAUUUGAGGGGUUUUUAAAAUGCUAAUAUAAAUAUUUUACUAACUUACAAUCAUGCAUCUAAUAACAAACGUUCGGGUUCUUUUGAAAUCAGUGUUAAUUGAUGUAUGCUCUUAAUAGCCUGGCUCUGGGACCUAUAGGAAACACAAAGGAAGCUGAAAUGUCGCAACUAAAAUGCAACUGCACACACACACACACACACACACACACACACACGUCAAAGCUUUUCAUCUCUCCUGAGCCACGUAGAACUGUUUUUCACUGUACAAAUCUGUUUCAUUCAUCACACUUCACCGGCAAGCAGCACAGCGAGCCCAUCUCAUCAUUUCUACCGGCAAGGCCGCCUUAGGCCCAGGUCAGAAGUCAAUGUUGCACACAGCAGGGUCUCACCGAAGACCCUGACCCCUUCCUGCAUAGUAAGUAGCCAUCUGCUCUUCAGGAAGUUACUGCCUGUGGGUUUUUACCAAAGACUUUUCAAUUUGAAAAAUGCUUUCAGAAAUGAUUUGCACCAGCUGGUUCUCUGGCAGCCUCCACACGGCCCAACCUGAAGCAUAAAACAGAAACCACAGACUCCGAGCAGUUCCAAAGGAGAUCUUCGUGAGCAGGCUCUGGUGUCCUCUGGGCAGGGGGCAUCCAGGGCCUCGGGAAGCAGGGGUGUGCAGAGAAGAGCAAUGGCAUCUUCCUCAUCACGUUAACUGAUAGUAGUUCCAGGCAAUUAGAAAAUGGCUAUAAAGUAACUUUAAUUUUUAAAAAAUCUUAUUCAUUUUCCCACUAGGAGAUUGAACUGAUCAUAUAUAUUGAUUUAUAUCCUGAAUUUGGGGGAACUCAUAUGUUUGGAAUGUCC
rnacentral:lncRNA from 1 species